rnacentral:rRNA from 1 species
GACGAACGCUGGCGGCGUGCUUAACACAUGCAAGUCGAACGAUGAAGCCGGAGCUUGCUCCGGUGGAUUAGUGGCGAACGGGUGAGUAACACGUGCGCAAUCUGCCCUUGACUCUGGGAUAACUGCGGGAAACUGUAGCUAAUACCGGAUACGACACCUUGGGGCAUCCCAGGGUGUGGAAAGAAUUUCGGUCAAGGAUGAGCUCGCGGCCUAUCAGCUAGUUGGUGAGGUAAUGGCUCACCAAGGCGACGACGGGUAGCCGGCCUGAGAGGGUGACCGGCCACACUGGAACAGAGACACGGUACAGACUCCUACGGGAGGCAGCAGUGGGGAAUAUUGCACAAUGGGCGAAAGCCUGAUGCAGCAAGGCCGCGUGAGGGAUGAAGGCCUUCGGGUUGUAAACCUCUUUUAGCAGGGAAGAAGCGAAAGUGACGGUACCUGCAGACAAAGCACCGGCUAACUACGUGCCAGCAGCCGCAGUAA